rnacentral:sRNA from 1 species
UCUUUCACUGCAAGGCGGCGGCAGGAGCGGUUGUGGUGCUGGUUUCUCUAAGCCAUCCAGUGCCAUCCUCGUCGCUGCAGCGACACACGCGCUCGCCGCCGCCAUGACUGAGCAGAUGACCCUUCGUGGCACCCUCAAGGGCCACAACGGCUGGGUAACCCAGAUCGCUACUACACCGCAGUUCCCGGACAUGAUCCUCUCCGCCUCUCGAGAUAAAACCAUCAUCAUGUGGAAGCUGACCAGGGAUGAGACCAACUAUGGAAUUCCACAGCGUGCUCUGCGGGGUCACUCCCACUUUGUUAGUGAUGUGGUUAUCUCCUCAGAUGGCCAGUUUGCCCUCUCAGGCUCCUGGGAUGGAACCCUGCGCCUCUGGGAUCUCACAACGGGCACCACCACGAGGCGAUUUGUGGGCCAUACCAAGGAUGUGCUGAGUGUGGCCUUCUCCUCUGACAACCGGCAGAUUGUCUCUGGAUCUCGAGAUAAAACCAUCAAGCUAUGGAAUACCCUGGGUGUGUGCAAAUACACUGUCCAGGUAAAGUGAGCCAUCUCCAAGGAUCUCUUCCACCCUCUUAACCUUUGCC